rnacentral:rRNA from 1 species
GAGACUCUGUGCGCGUGCAUAUCAAUAAGCGGAGGAAAAGAAACUAACAAGGAUUCCCUUAGUAACGGCGAGUGAAGCGGGAAGAGCUCAAAUUUGAAAUCUUCAAGGUUCUACCUUGACGAAUUGUAGUUUAUAGAAGUGUUUUCUGUUAGUAGAGUGGCAAAAGUUCUUUGGAAUAGGACAUCAUAGAGGGUGAGAAUCCCGUAUUUGGUCAUUCUUUCUAGCUUUGUGAUACACUUUCAACGAGUCGGAUUGUUUGGGAAUGCAGUCCAAAAUGGGUGGUAAAUUUCAUCUAAAGCUAAAUAUUGGCGAGAGACCGAUAGCGAACAAGUACCGUGAGGGAAAGAUGAAAAGAACUUUGAAAAGAGAGUUAAACAGUACGUGAAAUUGUCAAAAGGGAAGCGUUUGACACCAGUGUUGUUUUCUCGAAAAUCAAUUACGAAUGUUUUGUUUUUAAGAAGUUAUGACUUCAUCGGCUUGCUUCUUUCUUUACGAAACUUUCUUAAUGCACUUUUCGGUUAACAAGUCAACAUCAAUUUCUUUUGUUGUAAAAGGGUAUGAGGAAGGUGGCUUUCUUUUCGGAGAAAGUGUUUAUAGCCUUGUACCUCUGCAAUCGGAGAGAUUGAGGUCUGCAGCGUAGAUCCUUCGGGGUUAGAUACAUUUGUGCUAAGUUAUAGUCUUUUAUAGACAACUUGUUGACUAUGAUUUAGUCUUGUAGCUUACUCGCUUAUGCUAUUUUACCUACGCUUAGGAUGUUGAAGAUGUAGCACAUCAU